GCACAGUAUUCUGUGCUCUUUUAUGGUUAUUACAAUAACCAGAGGACAAUUGGAUGGCUAAAGUUCAGGAUAGCUCUUUCCUAUUUCCUUGUUGGAGUUGGGACUAUUGGCUACAGCUUUAUGAUUGUCAUUCGAACGGAGGUCUACUGACUCCAUCACCCUGCAUGACUCCUUCAGGCACUCCUGUUGCUGCUGUCUUUCCACCUGCGCGUAGCCUCGCUGCAAAGAGCCCUCAUCACGCUGUGUCCUCGACUCAUCACAGAGACGUCGUUUCGAGAAACUGAAAUGAAGGAAGUUUUGAAGAAGAAUGGCAAGAAAUGCAAAUGAAGAUGGUGGUGGGGAUGAUGCUAGUUUUAAUUUCAGCUGGAAAAUGUUCACAAGCUGAGACUACUUUAUUGGCAAUCCUGAGACAGCAGAUAAGAAGUUUGCUUCCAUCACAACAAACUUUAAGGUGAACAUGAUGAUGUCACUUUUAGGAAUGUUCUGCCCAAAAUUAUUUGAUGUAAUCAGUUCUCUGGAAAACUACCACCCUCGAAUAGCUCUAAGGUGGCAGCUGGGACGCAUCUUUGUUCUUUUCCUUGGCAAUCUCUACACUUUCAUUAUUGCAUUGAUGGAUGAAAUCAAUCUCAAGUUGGAAGAAGAGAAGAUAGUCAAGUAUAACAUGACAAUAUGGGAAGCCAGUCUACACAGUGGCACUAUUCCAGAAAAUUUGACUGCUCCUCCAAUACAGGUGGACCCUGCAGAUGUCCCCAGAGGGCCAUGUUGGGAAACAAUGGUAGGGCAGGUAAUGCAACUGAGCUAAUAUUUGAAAAUAGAUCAUAAUCUGUUACAAGAUAUCAUAUCAAACCCCUCUCUAUUUUUGCUGUUGAGUGACAUUAAGACAGGAAAAGAUGUGGGGAAACGCAGAUAUGGGACAAGUUAAUAACAAGGUCCUAUUUUUUUCCUUAGCUACAAAGCUGAGAAAAAGUUAUUUUAGUUUCUUUGAACCCUAUCUAGUAAGAACUCAUUUGUUUCUCCUGAUAGCUGACAGCAUCUGGUAUUAGAAAUUUGAUCAGACAAGAUCAAUUUCUGACUAAAAUAGGCCUAUAUUAAAGAUAAAAAAUAAGUAGCUCAGCAGAGAAAUAGACAUCAGAUAUAAUCAUACAUACAUACAUGCAUAUAAUCAUAUCAUAUACAUCAUAUAUAAUCAGAUCUUACCAGCAGUGUGCAUUUGAGAAGGUAUCUCUAUCUUUAGCCAAGUAGCAUGCUGCAAUACAACAGCAGUGGUUUAAUGGUAAAUCUGCCCAGACAUUUUGAUUCAGUUGGACAUCCAUACUUAUUGACCUAUUCAUAUUAUAUGCCAUUUCCAAAGACUUUCCCAACAUCUCUUAUUCCUCUGUUCAAUCAUACCUCAUUGUUGUUGUUUUGUCCCUGAGACUGAAUAAACUUUCCAGCAGCAGCCUGGAGAGCCUUUGUUAGCCUGGUUGGUGAGGGCAUGGGAUGCAGGUGCCGGAUCGCUUACUCUCUUAAGAGAGGAGUUGAACUUAAUGAGCCCCUUAUCAACCGAUGCUCAAGCACAGUAUUGCCUUACCCAAUUAACUUCUGCGCGGGAUGGGGCAGGGAAUGUUAUUGAAGCUCCAACAUUAUAUCAGUGGUUAUGCACCACUGUGGUGGGUGCUUACCCGUCCACAGGUGAAUUAGCCACUACAGUGGGAGCGUGGCGUACUUUUGAGUGUUGCGGCAGCUCGGGGUAGCAAUUGGGUUAGCAGAUGUGGACGGACCGGAUGGUGUGGAAAUAACAUGGCAGAUGAAAACCCAACUAUUAAAGGGGGCUCCAAGUGCCUUAAAGGCGUUACUGCUUGGCACAGUAAUGCCUGCAACUGGGUCAGUAGGGGCGUUGGUAAACAAUAUGAGGGAUUUGGCCCUUGUUGGUGGACCGGAUACUAAGCAAGCGAGAGCAGCUCGGAAUUCCAAGGUGAGAAGAUUGGCAGGGACUACUAAAUUGAGUGGAAAGGUAACGAGGUGACAGAUGUGGACUGAUUUGCUGCGGGCAGGGGUAUUGUGUGAUGAGAUAAAUGGUCUUUCUGCUGCUGACUUAUUCAAGCAGUGGCAGUGGCUGCCUGCUAAUCAGCAAUAUCGGACACAGCCUACCGCCCCAGCCACAGCGUGGAAACUGCCAGCCAAAA